GCAUUACUUUUUUUUUUUUAAAUCGAACUCAUGUUUGUUCAAAAAAGAAAAAAGAAACUCAUGCACAGGAGAGAGCAUAUAGGGGAAGGAACACUUAAGUUUGCACUCCAUAAGCCUAUGUGACUUUUAGAGGCAUGGAAUAGUGUAAAUAAGGGGGAUACUUUUUUUUUUAUUUGAACUCAUGUCAUUCAGUUCAUAAUGUAUCAUCUAUGUUAGGAUACCUUCUGUUCUCAACGGUUUAGCAUAGAAUUAUUCAUAAGUGGUCCAAUUGACAUCAUCUACGUCAUAAUUGACUUGCUUUUGUUGAUGAAAAUAACUUACAUGAGCAAUCAUGGAGCCUAAAACCUAAUUGCUUAGAUUAGCCAUGCACAAAUAGCCAACAAGUCAUGCUCGUAGAUCCUUUUUUGGCUCACUUCAUAUACUGAUUUUAAGAGUUUACUCAUCUAGAAGGCUUCUUCAAAAGGUUGCGGGAAAAAAAAUGGACAACCUUGAGGGAAAAUAAGGAAAAAACUAAUUUCAUGUUAUUUUAAGGCUGGGAAAUCAGUUUCUCUAUUUUAAUUUUAGUGGACGAAUAUCAAAUAUGGCCAAUGAUU
rnacentral:misc_RNA from 1 species